rnacentral:rRNA from 1 species
AGCGAACAUUGGCGGUAGGCUUAACACAUGCAAGUCGAGCGAGGCGUAAUAGUCGAGCGGCGAACGGGUGCGUAAUACAUGGGAAUCUACCUCGAAGUGGGGGAUAACGUCAGGAAACUGACGCUAAUACCGCAUAAUCCAUAUUGGGAAAGCGUUGCAGCGCUUUGAGAUGAGCCCAUGGCUGAUUAGCUAGUUGGUGAGGUAACGGCUCACCAAGGCGACGAUCAGUAGCUGGUCUGAGAGGAUGACCAGCCACACUGGAACUGAGACACGGUCCAGACUCCUACGGGAGGCAGCAGUGGGGAAUCUUGCGCAAUGGGGGCAACCCUGACGCAGCCAUACCGCGUGAGUGAUGAAGGUCUUCGGAUUGUAAAGCUCUUUCGGCGGGGACGACGAUGACGGUACCCGCAAAAGAAGUCACGGCUAACUUCGUGCCAGCCGCCGCAGUAAAAC